CCCUGGCUGUCCCUCAAAAAGCAGACAAAACCAGCCAGCUGCAGACCCAGCUGUCAGCGAGCCCCUACACUGGCAUUCAAGUGGCCACAAGAGAACCCACACAGUGCCCGGAGAGGGUCCAUUCUUCGCCUUUCUCUUCCCUACAAUUGACAGGCUCUGAGGAAGGAAACAGGUGACAAAUGGAAAAACCAGAACGCCAGGGAGUGGCAGCCUGGAAAACAGCCUCAGAACAACUUCUUGAAGCAAAUUUUACAUGGAGAGAGUGAAUGAGGAUUUGUGGAGAUUGCAGCUCUCUGCUUGGACUCUUGGAGGACCCUCAAAGCCCAACAGGCAGGCCACGACACUGAAGGCCUCCCCACUCCCUCACAUUGGCCCCCUCCCAUCCUCAGUGUGGCCAUCCCAGGUCCCUGCACGAACCUGGGGACCGACCAAGGUCCUGCCCACCACCUGUCUGGGAAGCCCCUACCCUGCCACUUACUUGUACUCCUUCUGCAAUGGUCAACUCAAGCCUAGGCUCCUCCAGGAAGUCCCACCUGCCUCUCUCUCUUCUGCAAGUUUCCAAAGAAAGCAGAGUCCAUAUCACACUGCCCAGCCCAGCCCGUGUGAUCCCUCCAAGAAGUAAUCAGUCCUAGGCACUGGCGACGUGACACUACAGCACUCGGGAGAACCAAAAGCAGUUUUCCAGCUCUCACUGCCUAACGUCCAUAACAGCAGAAGUAACACUGGAGGGACCCCCCCCCCUCCGCCCCGCGUUGACCUUGGACCUCUGGUACAGGCAGAUCAGCAAAUACACUGCCUUGGAUUUGGAGCCAGGAACGUGCCGCCGCCUCCUGUUGCCCUGACCUCACCGGCUACAUGCAGCAGAAUGGCCGGAUAGUCUCCAAAUGCUAUUUGCCUGCCAUCACUGGCAACAGGUAACAAGCAGAAUGAGAAACUCUUACCUUUAUUUUCAUUUUUGUUUUCUUGAAAUAAAAUUUCUUAGAAUGAACUCUGAAAGUGAGGGAAAGAAAUCCUAAUUGGGUAACACCAUUGAAUGUUUCCAUUUUUCAGGGCAAAGCAAUCUCUGGAUUUGGGGUGGUGGGGAGGGCAUGCUGUGAGGCAUGUGGGAUCUUAGAUCCCCCACCAGGGACCCAUGUCCCCUGCAGUGGAAGUGCAGUUUUAACCACUGGACCAACAGGUAAAUCUCUGGACUU